rnacentral:snRNA from 1 species
AGGGCCCCGUGGAUGUUCUUCUGGAAUAUGCAUAUUCUUCUUUGGAAGCAGAUUAUCUUCCCCAAUAGAGAAAGACUGUUCUUUCACUGAGGGUAUAGAAGGAGUUACCAGACCCUACUAGAACCUCCAAGCAAUCUCUUGAAGUCAUUUUAAGGCUCCAGACACAGACAAAUGAGAUGUUACAUCAAGCAAUCUGACUGUCUUG